AAAAAGAUAAGCUAAAUAAGCUAUUGGGUUCAUACCCCAUUUAUAAAGGCAGCACCUUUUCUUUUUA
rnacentral:tRNA from 2 species